CAUCUCUACAAGAGCCUUUGCAGUACGGUAAGACAAGGCAAUACGAUAAUUUAAAUCCCCAAGCCAAAUAAUUCGAUCAUGUUCCAGAAUUGUUUGAGGGGAAUUCUCAUCUCCCAUAUCAUGAACUCUAGGAAACCUUGUCUUCCUAAGGAUCUCCAUGACAUCAGAGUUUCUUCGUAGCUCAUCUCCCUCCUUCUGCCCAGAUGUUAAAUGACUACAGAUGAAGCAAAAGCUUGUUUGGUGCAAUGACAUGCUAAUUGAAAUUGAACCCUUGUUUCCAAGAUAACCCAUCAAUCCUCUGCCCACACAAGACACUUUCAUGUUGCGAACAUCAUCUCUGAGAUCACUCUUUACCCAUACUGUUAGAAAUAUUCCAACCAUUUGCUUACUGGCAACUAAACAGUACCUUGAUUGCCCUGUUUGCCUAUCUCUGUCCUCCAAUGAGAAGGAUCCACUGUAGUCAAUUGGUGAAUAAUGAGUGGUACCUGGUGAAUCCCCAGGUGCAUUCUCAUCAUCCGAGGAGCCCCAUUUGAAAUUAGGCUCAUAAUCACUUGGUCUAUGCCCAAAUAUAACUCUAUCACAGACGCUGAAACGUCGAUCAAGUCUAGGUUGAGGCAUUGUCAUGUCGCUAUCCAUUCUCAUGCUCCGGCUCAAUGAUUGAAAGGAGCGACGGUGGAAGAAAGAUGAGGCCUUCUGCCUUGUUGAUCCCUCAAAAUCUGCAUCCAAUUCUACAAUUGGAUCAGGGGUGGGGGAAGGAGUACGAUAACCCGCGCUUGCACCAGGAAGACUAUUUAGAGUCUUCCUAAUAAGAGCUAACCAUUUUCUGGCUGGACCGUUGUCUUCUGUACCCAAGACAUUGCCAGCAUUUAGAGGAACAAUUUCUUGAAACCCAAGAACAUAAAUGUCGGCGGGAGGAGAGGUAUGAAGCCAAUCUUCAAGAUUCAAAUAACUUGGAGGAGAUUUUCCAGCCACAUUCCAUGUUGCUACAAAAAUCCUGCAGUCCCAUAGCAAUUAAAGCACGAUAAAAACCCAGCUCUCAGCAGGAAACAGAUCCUAUGCACCACAAUGAACACACCUAUAAUUGUGUACAUCAGUGACUUGAGCAGCAUCAAUGUCAAUCUUACUUCUUCGGACUCGAUCAGAAUUCCUCCUGUUCAAUCGCUCUGUUUUGCUUUUCUUGAUGGUGCAUGCCUCUCUCUCUGAGAAGUUGGUUCUCCAAUCUUCAUCACCACCUCCGCAAAUGACAUCAUCUGCUUGAAAUUCCUCAGCUUUGCUCUUGAUAUUGAACCACUUCUUGACCAGUGUCUUGGGCCAUGAAAGCUUGCUUUUCUUCGAGUUCCCAUCUCUCAUUGUUUCACAAAUUCAUAAAGCCUUCCAAAUUUUUACGGCAAUAAUGAUAAAUUUCAGUUCCUCUUUAUUAAACUAUCACUCGAUAUCUUCUGGGUUUUGCUCAGAAUAGAAUUUGAAUAGAAAGAAACCUGGAAACAAAAUUUUUUGGAAAGAGCCCAGAAUAAGUUUAUUUAGAACGCUCUGGUUUUAUGCUAAACCCAACGGGGAAUAACUAGGUGAAUAAGGCGAGGGAGAUGAAGAGAAGAAAUGGGUAAUGCUUUGCUUGCUCAAGAAAUGAAGAGAAAAUAAUCGAGGCAACAUAGAAAGUCCCAGUUCCUCGGCAUUUUAUAAACAGAAAGUGAAAUCCAAGAACUACCCAGUUGCCCGGUUCAGGCUUUCUUCCUUCUCUUCCCUUGCGAGUCCAGUUCAGAGAAAACAGAGAAAAUGAAGAAAAUAUGAGAAACUGAAAGAGAGGCAAUUAAAACCGGAAACAGACAGAGAGAGAAAUGAUGCGUGAAAGUAAGACUAUGAGAUUCUGAGAGUAUAAUAAGACAAUGUACGAGACACAAAAAGGAAGACAGAGAGAGAAACUCAGGGUAACAAAAAACCUCGUUCUGGGGCACAGAGCAAAGUAUCGAAUUUGAAGAAAAGAAUAAAGUGCAAGAGCAAGGUGAAAGAGCUCCCACACGCACACAAAAACUCCCUCCCUUCUCUCUCUC
rnacentral:misc_RNA from 1 species